rnacentral:rRNA from 1 species
CUACAAACGUAAUACAAUGGCGUAUACAAAGGGAUGCGAAAGAGCGAUCUGGAGCAAAACUCAUAAAGUACGUCUCAGUUCGGAAUGAAGUCUGCAACUCGACUUCAUGAAGCUGGAAUCGCUAGUAAUCGCGGAUCAGCAUGCCGCGGUGAAUACGUUCUCGGGGUUU